rnacentral:rRNA from 1 species
UGGGGGAUAUUGCACAAUGGGGGAAACCCUGAUGCAGCGACGCCGCGUGUAGGAAGACGGUCCUCUGGAUUGUAAACUACUGUCUUCGGGGACGAUAAUGACGGUACCCGAGGAGGAAGCUCCGGCUAACUACGUGCCAGCAGCCGCGGUAAUACGGAGGGUGCAAGCGUUGUCCGGAAUCAUUGGGCGUAAAGAGUUCGUAGGUGGUAUGUUAAGUCUGGUGUUAAAGCCCGAAGCUCAACUUCGGUUCGGCACUGGAUACUGGCAAACUUGAAUGUGGUAGAGGUAAAGGGAAUUCCUGGUGUAGCGGUGAAAUGCGUAGAUAUCAGGAGGAACAUCGGUGGCGUAAGCGCUUUACUGGGCCAUAAUUGACACUGAGGAACGAAAGCCGGGGUAGCAAAUG